rnacentral:rRNA from 1 species
AUGGAUCACAUACAAAUAUAUAAUGCAUUUCAGAGCGUAGAUUCACUCAUUUUGAUUUAUAUGCAGUGCAUAAUGAAAUCUCUACAAAGACUUGUAUUUAAAAAUGGAGGUAGUAUAUAUUUGAGCAAACUUUUGACAAAAUUUGAAGAGUUUGUGUCAAUUGACCUCAUAGAUUUAUUGGGUCUGGCACUGCAUUGUUUAGCGGGGCACUUUCUUGAGCCAUUUCUUUUCCGCUUGAGCCAUGCGGGGAAUGGAGAUUAUGGGAGGACCAGGGAAGUAGGUGAAAUCGGAUCCGACGAAGAGAAACCAAUAAACCUAAAAUUAUUUUUUGACGAAAAUACUCAACUUCAUAUCUUACAUUCUUAA